rnacentral:rRNA from 1 species
AUACGAAAGGUGCAAGCGUUGUUCGGAUUUACUGGGCGUAAAGAGAGUGUAGGUUGUUUAUUAAGUCGGAUGUGUAAUCCCGGGGCUCAACCUCGGAACUGCAUUCGAUACUGAUAGGCUAGAGUUUGGGAGGGGUAAGCGGAAUUCCGUGUGUAGCAGUGAAAUGCGUAGAUAUACGGAGGAACACCUGAGGCGAAGGCGGCUUACUGGACCAAUACUGACACUGAGACUCGAAAGCGUGGGUAGCAAACAGGAUUAGAAACCCCGGUAGUCC